rnacentral:pre_miRNA from 2 species
GAGCCGCGCAAGAACUCCGGCUGUGACCUGUGUACACGUUAUCCAAAUCACAUCACAGUCUGAGUUCUUGCUUGGACG